UUCAAUGAUGACACGUUGUCGCCCCAAACGGAGCCUUUACAGGAAGUGACCGAUUCGACACAUAGCCAAACACACACAAAUCUGACG
rfam:Pichia sorbitophila strain CBS 7064 chromosome M complete sequence.